AUGAUAUGCAAAUCUGAUCAUUUAAACAAGGAAAUAUAAGUUGUUGUCUGCGAUGGUUGAAUAACAAGCUCAAAAUGAUAGUUUUUUGGCCGUGCUAAGUUUCCUAACCGAACACCAUGGAAUCAAACGAGAUGAUCUAGUCGGCUAACUACUUGACAGCCUUUCAAUCCACCUGAGUCCUCGCGAUCCGUCUUGUAUGUCUUCGAUUGAGGAUGCAAACUUGUGCGACCACCUUUUUGAGGCAAGGCAUUGUAUCCAAACAAACCGUCUGAAGAAAACACGGCUCGUAAUUCCUUGCAGUGAAGGUACUUUCUCAUUACCCUCGUCUCUUUCCUGUACUUGGUUCAAUAGCAGCAGUUGUAUGAUGUCGUACACCAUUCUAAACAACUCGUGCAAGGCUCUCAAUUGAAAGUGAAGUGCUGCGGAUUGAUUCGUCCUUUGUAUUGUAUUUCCUUCAUAUUGUGUUAUGGGAGAGUCAAUAUAGCAAGAUGGUAUUGGAAAGGGAAAUUCUUUUAACUUGUUUCCAUGGAAUCAAGUUAUAAACAGCAAGAAUAUACAGUCCUUUGACAAAACGUUGUCGUUGAUCGGAUCAUCCCUACGCGCCUAGACCGAAAAGGAUAACGGGUAAAUUAACAUGAAUAAUUAAUUGUUCUCUAUCAGUCGGUGACAAUAGCACAAUGGAGAGCAAAAUGCACGUUUGUCUUCGCGUAUUACGCAAGGAAAACAAGAGCACAGCUUCACAUCAUAUUCCAUCAAGGAUGUCCCAAAUAUCGACAACGUGCAGGCGCUAAAAGAUUAUCUGCUUGAGCGCUGUUCAGACGAGUUAUCGCCGGCUAAAGAUAGUAGCUUCGAAAUAGGUUACUUUGGGGAUGAGAGCCAAAAAUUUANUAUUUCCAGUCCAGUACAACUUGCCCAAGACGUGUUAGAUAACAUAUGCGGCAGCUAGUAACUGUGAAUUAAUUAUCCCCAUGAUCCUAUUUGGUCUAGGCGCGUAGGGAUGAAGCCGAUCAAACGACAACGUUUAGUCAAAGGACUGUAAGUUUAUGUCAUAUCUUCAAUAGUAAAAUGUUUAUAUAACAAUAAGUGAAAUUAUAAUUGGAAUAAA
rnacentral:lncRNA from 1 species